AGUCAUCUGAACAAAACGUCUUCCAAGCUGAAGAAUCCAAUGCUUCUCAUGCUCCAAUCGCAUCUCACGACUCGAUUCUGAAGCUUUGUCUUCUUCCAAUUUCUACAUAAAAUUGAAGAGUCCAGGUUCCACUUAUUGGAAUAUGACUCGAUUCUGAAGAGUCCGUGUUCACGUACUCUAACAGAGGCGACGUCGUCGCGUUUGUGCAUCCAUGAUUCAGUUCGAACGAUUCAGACUCACGAAUUCGAUCGACAAAACUAAAUACAGAUUGAAGCAAAAACUUACCGGUUUGAUGCGGCGGCGAAAACAGGUAGGAAUUCCUUGAUUCUUCCAAUUCUUUAUGCUUAAGCGAUUGAUUUCACACUUGAUGCGUGUGUUGCUCCUGUUACUCCUUCCUGAUAUUUAUGCUGCUUCUGUUUCGGUAUACGCGACGGUGCUCCUUCUUUUGAUGAGUGAGUGAAGAAAGGAGUUCUGAGUGUGGAUUGCAGAAAGUCGAGCCUCUCCAAAAGUUGCAGUGAAGAAUGGAGUUCUGAGUAUGAAUUACAGAAAGAUCAAGCCCCUCCAAAAGAUGCAGUGAGGUCAAAGUUUGUUAGUUUGGAAUUUAAUUAGCGACACUGGUUAAUCCUGUGCAGAUUGGGAAUUGAAGUGCAGGUUGAGUUCUACUUCAGAAUUCGCAACGUUGAGACUCAGACCUUCCAAAGCAGCGAACUUAUAGUUUCUAGACUUUGUUAGCAGAUAAACCAAUUUCCAUACCAGUUGGAGAAAACCGUCAGAAAUGCGGUUGAGUCGUUACUGCUAUACAGAACGUUGUAAAAUCUGGAACUGAACGGAGUGGUGAAGGUCAUCAUGAUUGGUUCUGGUCUAGUAUCAUGGAAGUUGUAAUUGGCUUACUUAAUGUAGCAUAGUUGGCAUGGCUCUACAAGGUUUGUGGCAAGCUCAAAGUUGGUCAUGUUGCAGGGUGUUUGCUGACCUAUGCAGUAUGGUGCCAUGGUCAUGAUUGGAUGGUUAAACAAGCAUGACAUCAAAAUUGUGAUUUGAAGUAUACAUCUACAAAUGGAAAUUCAAAGAAUCAAGAUGGAAUUUGAAGAUAAGGGUUAGAUUUAGGAUGAAAAAGGUUGGGUUGGCUUUGGUCAAAGUUAACCAAAAAGUCAACAUUUGGUCAACACAAGCUUUUUUUUUGGCAUUUUUGAUAUAAUGAACAUUUUUUAGGGUUAUGUAAUGAAUGGGAUUUAUGUAUUUGAAUGAAAUUGAUCAUGAAUUUAUUUUGUA